rnacentral:lncRNA from 1 species
UAGAGAAACAAGAUGCCCUUGUGGAGAAAACAAAUUAAACUUUCUCCCGGCGGGCUAAGUGCUACUGGGAGGAAGAAAAGCACAUCAUUUUCAGGGGAGCGACUCUCCGCUCACAUCUUGCUCCUGCUUAAAAUAGAAGCAGGAAGUUAAAACUCCAGACGGAUGGGGUGCCAGGGAAGUGAGAGGGAGUUGGAACAUUCCUGUUUUUGCCUAGAGAAGAUGCUCAUAUCACCCAGGAAGGAGAUCUGGGAUGGCACAAUGUGUAUUUAGACAGCAGUUACACAAAGUUGCAAGUCAGGAAGAAAAGCAAGAAUGUAACAAGACAUGGAUUUAAAAGCCUCCUGAUGGAGGCAAAGUUCCAGGUUGAAUAAGAAACAAAUAAUCCAGCGGCUCAGAUUUCAUCUUGGGGAUUUCAACAAUCACAGCCACAAGGAUUUCCCAGGUUACAGCUCUUCUUGGAAAAAUUACCCUGGAGAGAAAACAGAAAACUGGAUAAAAAGAACCCCCACAAGAAGGGACAGUCCUGACUGCGGCAGAAAUUUCUUCUGGAGAGAAAAAAGCCACCUUUGUGAGCCACAGAGAUUCAAAGCUGGCCAGGCGGGAGCCACCCUAAGGUUUUUGGGCAGAUCCCUCCACCUGUUAUAUCUUCAACUAGGAAAACCUUCUGAGAAUCAAAAGGGGUCCUGUGUCCUGAUAUCACAGUGACCAAUUUCUUUGAGACGGCUACAAGCUUCCAUAGAAAAGACUGGCUGACUGACUGCCUUCUAGCUCCCCCGGUACAUAGUUGUGUAUUCUUCGUUGUGAGUUCUUCUAGUUGUGGCAUGUGGGACGCUGCCUCAGCGUGGUCUGAUGAGCAGUGCCAUGUCCGCACCCAGGAUUCGAACUAACGAAACACUGGGCCGCCUGCAGCGGAGCGCGCGAACAUAACCACUCGGCCACGGGGCCAGCCCCUAUAAUGGUCUCUUUCUAAUUCUAAAAGCUUGAUUCCAUGUUAAAGUUUGACUUACAUCUAGAGACUAUUUUAGAAAAUUCUUUUAAAUACUAAAUUAUAAUUAGUUAUACAGAGGAGGACGGUGAGAAUGACAGUAACAUCCUUUCUGUACAGUGAGCCAAUUUGUAGAUGGAGAAAUAAGGAUCCAGAGAGAGAUGUUUCACUAGAAGCCUUACGUUUGGGAAUGUCUAGCAGAGAAUGGUCAAGAUAAUGAGGAGCUUAGCAAUUACAGUAAAUGAGUGGUUGAAGGAACCGGAAUGUCAGCUUGGCGAAUUUAGAAAACCAUACUGUCUUUAAAAAUUUAAAGGGAUGUAAUCCACCGAGAAAGACAUUUUGGGUAGCUCCAUCUGAUAGAAGUGGGUAGAAGUUCCUAAAUUUAAUAUAAAGACUUCAGGUCAGUGUAAGACUUUUUCCAAUACUUACAGGCCAUAUUCACGGCUGAUGCCCCUGAAAUAGUGAAGUUUCUCUUACUAGAAGUGUUUAAAUAGAAGCCAGAUAGCAGCUUGGCCGAGAUGGGACAGGAAUGAUUCAUUUGAACUACUAAAGUCCAGGGUGGACGCAGGAUGGGGCGACUCUGCGAGGGGGGUUGACUCCAGAUUUCUUCUUCUUUUUUCUUUUGAUGACAUCCUAAGUUUCCUGACAGUGCUAAGAUUCUACUAAGCAAGCAACAAAUGGGAAAAAUACUUAGCACAGCUCUAACAAAGAUUCAUUCAAAUCUUCCAGAAAAAACUCUAAGAUUCCAACUGGUGAAUGUCCAAAGGCCGGGAACAGGCAGUGCACAAGAGAGGAAAUAUAAAUAAUUUGUAAGCUUCUGAAAAAAUGUUCAAUCCCAGUGGUAAUAAAAGAAAUGCAAAAUCAAAUGCCAAUAAGACACCUUUUUUUAUUUAUUGAAUUGGUGAAGGUAAGAAAAAUAAUACAAAUUUUGAUGAAGGUGCAGAGAGGAGUCAGUCUCAAACAUGGUUG